rnacentral:rRNA from 1 species
GUGAGGAAUAUUGGUCAAUGGGCGGGAGCCUGAACCAGCCAAGGCGCGUGAAGGAAGAAGGAUCUAUGGUUCGUAAACUUCUUUUGCAGGGGAAUAAAGUGCAGGACGUGUCCUGUUUUGUAUGUACCCUGAGAAUAAGGAUCGGCUAACUCCGUGCCAGCAGCCGCGGUAAUACGGAGGAUCCGAGCGUUAUCCGGAUUUAUUGGGUUUAAAGGGUGCGUAGGUGGUUUGAUAAGUCAGCGGUGAAAGUUUGCAGCUUAACUGUAAAAAUGCCGUUGAAACUGUCGGACUUGAGUGUAAAUGAUGUAGGCGGAAUGCGUGGUGUAGCGGUGAAAUGCAUAGAUAUCACUCAGAACUCCGAUUGCGAAGGCAGCUUACUAAGCUACAACUGACACUGAAGCACGAAAGCGUGGGGAUCAAACAGGAUUAGAAACCCGGGUAGUCC